ensembl:lncRNA
AUGGAGGACGUGCCGUCCGACCCGCCGGACGAGGAGUUUCCCGGCCCGUCGGAGCGGUCUCCAAGGAGGAAGCGACGUUCGCGCCGCCGGCGCGGCACUCCACAGCCGGAUGUCGGGACAUGUAAGCAGCCGGCUGUGGUGAGUAAAAGGGACACUUUUUCUGCUGCGUCACACUCUGUGACUGUUGUUUCUGGGGCAAUUUUUUGUGUUUCGACUGAGGAUAACAAUGAUUCCUCAAUCUCACCUAUGGCCGCAGUUUCUAAGACUGCCUGUUCUGAACCUUCGUUCCGAGUUUAUGACCGUGUCCGCUCUGUUGUCCCAUCCUCACUUCCAUCCCAGUUAAAUGCCCGGCCCGUAACACUGCCCGCAGUUCAGUCAGCAGCCCAGCUGCCCGCAGUUCAGUCAGCAGCCCAGCUGCCCGCAGUUCAGUCAGCAGCCCAGCUGCCCGCAGUUCAGUCAGCAGCCCAGCUGCCCGCAGUUCAGUCAGCAGCCCAGCUGCCCGCAGUUCAGUCAGCAGCCCAGCUGCCCGCAGUUCAGUCAGCAGCCCAGCUGCCCGCAGUUCAGUCAGCCAUUCCAUCACCUGUUACGCCUCCACUCCGAUCAUCUCCGUCCCCUGUAGGUCAAUCCUUGGCCUCGCUACCUGCUGUCCAGUGGCCGCUAGCUCAGCUGUCUGCCCACUCAUUCAUUCAGCCGCCAUCCUCACUGUUUCAUUCCGAGCAGGGAACACACUUCACCACGACAUCUGCUGGUUCUCUUAAGCUGGUCACCUCAGAGACAGUUGCUCCCUCUAGGGCCUCCCCAGAGGCUGGGUGUCGCUCACCAGCUGACUCUGAACCCCUAGAGGUCAAGACGCCAGCGCCAGCAGUUUCACCAGGGAACUCACCAGAGCAGUCUCGGCUCUCAGCACCCCCUGAGAGCUCAAGUGAGUUCACCCGUCCGCCUCAGUCCUCUGCUGAGUGUAUUGGGGAACACUUUCAGCCCUCUGAGGACUGCAUCCCACUGUUGCUGCCUGAGUCUAGCCACUGUGCUGCUCAGUUCCAGCCAGUGUCCACACCAGCAGAGGUCUGCGUACCUGCUGCCUCAGUGUCUGUUUCCGCUGGAGGGCCCGAGUCGCUCGUCCAGCCUCAAGUUUCGUUAGCUGGGGGUUUGGGAGAACCCAGCCAGCAUCCUGCCUCGUCGGCUGGAGGGCCUGAGGAGCCCGUCCAGCCUCAAGUUUCGUCUGCUGGGGGUUCGGGAGAGCCCAGCCAGCUUCAAGUUUCGUCCGCUGGGGGUUCGGGAGAGCCCAGCCAGCUUCAAGUUUCGUCUGCUGGGGGUUCGGGAGAGCCCAGCCAGCUUCAAGUUCCGUCUGCUGGGGGUUCAGGUGAACCCAGACAGCAUCCUGCCUCGUCAGCUGGGGGUUCGGAGGAGCCCAGCCAGCUUCAAGUGUCGUCAGCUGGGGGUUCGGGAGAGCCCAGCCAGCUUCAAGUUCCGUCUGCUGGGGGUUCAGGUGAACCCAGACAGCAUCCUGCCUCGUCGGCUGGGGGUUCGGGAGAACCCAGCCAGCCUCAAGUGUCGUCUGCUGGGGGUUCGGAGGAACCCAGCCAGCCUCAAGUGUCGUCAGCUGGAGGGCCCGAGGAGCCCGUCCAGCCUUAUGCCACGUCUGCUGGAGGGUCCGAGGGGCCCGUUCAGCCUCCUGUCUCCGCUGGAGGGUCCGAGGGGCCCGUUCAGCCUCCUGUGUCGUCUGCUGGAGGGUCCGAGGGGCCCGUUCAGCCUCCUGUGUCGUCUGCUGGAGGGCCCGAGUCGCCUGUCCAGCCUCCUGUGUCGUCAGCUGGUGGGCCGGAGUCGCCCGUCCAGGCUCCUGUGUCGUCUGCUGAAGGGCCCGAGUCGCCCGUCCAGCCUCCUGUGUCGUCAGCUGGUGGGUCCGAGGAGCCCGUCCAGCACCACACCUCGUUAGCUGAGGGUCCUGGAGGACCCAGACAGCACAUCCUCUCGUCUGCUGGCGGUCCGGGGAGGGCUGUUCAGCCAUCACCGGCUAAAUCAUCCCCCGCGACAUCUACAUCUCCGCCUGCAGCAUCAUCAUCUCCGCCUGCAGCCGCAGCAUUAUCAUCUCCGCCUGCAGCCGCAGCUUCAUCAUCUCCGCCUGCAGCCGCAGCUUCAUCAUCUCCGCCUGCAGCCGCAGCUUCAUCAUCUCCGCCUGCAGCCGCAGCUUCAUCCGCAGCCGCAGCUUCAUCCGCAGCCGCAGCUUCAUCCACGCCUGCAGCCGUCCCGCUGCCGUCAGGUUCCGCAGCCAUCCCGCUGCCGUCAGGUUCCGCAGCCGUCCCGCUGCCGUCAGGUUCCGCAGCCGUCCCGCUGCCGUCAGGUUCCGCAGCCGUCCCGCUGCCGUCAGGUCCGGCCCCGUGUCUUCAUCCACGCCUGCAGCAUCAUCGCCUGCAGCCGUCUCGCUGCCGUCAGGUUCCGCAGCCGUCUCGCUGCCGUCAGGUUCCGCAGCCGUCUCGCUGCCGUCAGGUUCCGCAGCCGUCUCGCUGCCGUCAGGUUCCGCAGCCGUCUCGCUGCCGUCAGGUUCCGCAGCCGCUCCGCCGUCGCCUGGUCCUGCCUCGUCGGCUUCGUCCACGCCUUCGUCCUCGCCAGGUCCGGCUUCGUCCACGCCUUCGUCCACGCCAGGUCCGGCUUCGUCCACGCCUUCGUCCACGCCUGGCCCGGCUUCGUCCACGCCUUCGUCCACGCCUGGCCCGGCUUCAUCUGGUCCUGACUUGUCCACGUCUGGCCCUGCCUCGUCUGGUCCUGCGGUUGCUACACCGUCAUGGGACCCAGCUCGUCCUGUUCCGCCUCCCCUCUGCCGGCCGUUUUCCAGGCCUCUAA